rnacentral:lncRNA from 1 species
UCAUGAUCUCACGGUUCGUGGGUUCACGCCCCACGCCAGAUUCUGUGCUGACCGCUCGGAGCCUGGAGCCUGCUUCGGAUUCUGCGUCUCCCUCUCUCUCUGCCCCUCUCCUGCUCACUCUCUCUCUCUCCCCAAAAUAAAUAAACAUUAAAACUUUUACAAAGCAGCGAGCCUUUUUAAACAGCAACGUUUUUCCCUCUCUUCACACACUUGGGGUGGCGCGCCAGGGCAGAGCUCUCAUCUGGUGUGGCAGCAAGGGGCUGCCACAGUGUGUGACUUCGUUUGCUGAGGAGAGAUGGACACCUGGAACCAUGCCAUGCAGCGACCUAAGGGGAAGACAGCACAGAGCCCUGUGGCAGAAGGCGGCGAUAAGAAGACGGGCGACACGGUUCCUUUAUUCCCGCCCACGCCUGCUCCUAAUUCCUGGUAGUCUGGGAAAACUGGAAGAAAAGAAAAUGCCAGAAAGUUACGGUAAAACUUAAGAUGCGGCCGAAGUCGCUUUCUUUGCCCCUGCUGUGAGUGUUUGAAUAAGAAGAAUGCUCCCGGACUGUAACAAGCAAAAAGAAUGAAGAAGACAAAAGAUUUCCAGAAAAAGGUUUAGCUAGAAGACAAGGCAAGUGAAACUGAAAGGAGAAAAAAAGCAUUUACAAUGGAACAAUAAGUGUACUAAUCGCUUUGAUAUAUUAUACAAGCCCAAAGACCCAAAACAUUGUGUAAUUAUUUAUAAAUGACUUCUCCACUCCUGUGUAUAAUGCAGAGGAAAGAAUAAAACUGCAGGCUACUCUCUAAACUAUUUCUAA